rnacentral:rRNA from 1 species
AUGGCCGGCAAGGAGGAGGCGGGGAAGUUGAUGGUGAGUCCGGGCAGCGCUGCCAAUUCGACGGAGGCCAGCGUCGAUGGUCCUGCGGCGGUGUUCCCCUCCGCCGCCGGAUCCAUCUACAAGGAGGGUGACGAGUCUUUCGAGUCAGACAAGGGGGUGACUGCGAUGGACAAGAUGCUUGGGGAGGCGAAUCUGUCAUCCGCCGUCGCCAAUCAGCCGGCCGCAGCACCACCAGGUCCAAACAAGGGCAAGGUUCGGCUGUCGAAAGCCGAGAUUAGGACCAUAAUUGCGCUGAAGCCGGAGCAACACCCCAGCGCCGAUUACCUGGACGAUCUGGCAGAGUAUUUUCCUCUGGAGUGGAUUGAGGAAAGGAAGCGUGCCCACGCUGACAGUGUAGAGCUUUUCAAGAAGAUGGACGACGAUUUCGAAGAGUACCGGCAGGAGGUCAUCGCGUCUGUGCGGGACAAGGGCUACUACGAGGUCGAUGAAGAACUCAUCGCCAACAGGGAAAGGGGGAACGAAAACGCUGCCGAACAAUGGAAGAAGAUUGAUUGGACUGGAAUACAGAUUGCUAUCCCGGAGGACAGGCUGAGGGAUUCUGAUAGCUAUCGUCCAUACGUUCCUGACCAAGAUGAUGCUCUUGUUGAAGCUCUUGUGAUCGAGUGA